AUUGAACGCUGGCGGCAGGCCUAACACAUGCAAGUCGAACGGUAACAGGAAGAAGCUUGCUUCUUUGCUGACGAGUGGCGGACGGGUGAGUAAUGUCUGGGAAACUGCCUGAUGGAGGGGGAUAACUACUGGAAACGGUAGCUAAUACCGCAUAACGUCGCAAGACCAAAGAGGGGGACCUUCGGGCCUCUUGCCAUCGGAUGUGCCCAGAUGGGAUUAGCUAGUAGGUGGGGUAACGGCUCACCUAGGCGACGAUCCCUAGCUGGUCUGAGAGGAUGACCAGCCACACUGGAACUGAGACACGGUCCAGACUCCUACGGGAGGCAGCAGUGGGGAAUAUUGCACAAUGGGCGCAAGCCUGAUGCAGCCAUGCCGCGUGUAUGAAGAAGGCCUUCGGGUUGUAAAGUACUUUCAGCGGGGAGGAAGGGAGUAAAGUUAAUACCUUUGCUCAUUGACGUUACCCGCAGAAGAAGCGCCGGCUAACUCCG
rnacentral:rRNA from 1 species